UACGUAGGAGACGAGCGUUGUCCGGAGUUACUGGGCGUAAAGGGUGCGCAGGCGGCCUGGCGCGUCGCGAGUGAAAUCUCCCGGCUCAACUGGGAGGGUGGUCGCGAGACGGCUAGGCUUGAGGCUCGGUGAGGGGCGUGGAAUUCCGGGUGUAGCGGUGGAAUGCGUAGAGAUCCGGAAGAACACCGGUGGCGAAGGCGGCCCGCUGGGCAACUGCUGACACUGAUGCGCGACAGCGUGGGGAGCAAACAGG
rnacentral:rRNA from 1 species